AUGCAUAUACUAGAUACACAGAGGAGGUACACUCACACAAAUUUUUGGGAUUUUAUGAGUUGAUUUGGUAAUUUUAAUAAAAUCCAAUAAAAACAGGACAUAAACAAAAGUGAAAUAAUGAAAAAAGGUUUAGUUCAUAAAUUAAGAAAAACAAGCUAGGGGGAUUGCUAUCCACCACCACAUAAUCAUGCAAAUAUGUUCUAUUUCAUUCAAAUUCCUCUGUUUCUAGAUAAAGAUGCUUAGGUUAAUUCAAUGCUAGGACACAACUUAUUACUCUUUCUUAUGUAGACUUAAUUUAGUUCCAAGCAUGUAAUCUAGAAUGGUGUUAAUAAGCAUAUAAGAUCAUAGAAAGCAACCUACACCCCUUUGCAUACAAAGACAUAGAAGUGACUUAUAAUACUAAUAUAAGAGAAAGAUGGCAAGUCAAGGAACCAUGAUAUCCACUCCUUAGCUAUGACAUUCCAAAGUCAUGCAGAACAGACACUAAUCGUCCUCCAAUAUUAUUGAUUAAUUGGACCUUCAAGAAACGAGUAGAGUAUUGUUCGGGCAGGAAAUCUGACUGGUGGGCGUUCCUAGCUCGAGCACACAGCUCCUCGAGUAGUUGGCACUUUGGUUGAUUGUCGGGUUCCUGCUUGUCACAAUACUGCAAGAGGAGAACAAAGUUAGUUCUAAAAGGUGCCUUUAUGGGGCCUUAGGUGUAGGCCUUGAGACUCGUAAUCAAAACCAACUAGGUGUUUAGGCGGAUGUAAAACAAGUGUGUUUUAAGCAGAUUACUUGCGUCCCAAGUUAUUUCUGACUUCUUGUUUAUCAAAGGAUUGUUGUAGGUGGGUUAAGUUUACAUUAAGUUCUUUUCUAUGCCUUGAGAUCAAAGACUUUUAGUUAUCUUGUAUGCUCGAGGGGUGAAGGUCCAUAUCUGAUCAAGUCAUCAGUUUAAUUCAUUCCAAUCUUAAUUAAAAGACUAAGUGAACCAUAUCUGAGAACUGUUGGGCUUUGGAUCAUCAAAUGACCAGAAAUAACUUGAAUAUAAACUGGGGAAUGCAUUAUAACAACAGAUCUAUUAAUUGAAAGACAAAAACAAAGAGAGUCGGGCAAGAUUUCACCUUGUCGGGCAAGGUUAAACAUCUUGCGGUGUCUUCUCUUUGCAGUUUACAAAAGGAUUGAGUAUUAAAGGAGAUGACUGGAAAUGAGUUUAUACACGAUGGAUCGAUACUACAACAUUUAGGAAAAUGUAGCAAAGCAUUUACAUAGACAAAAGAUGUCUUUCAAAGGAAAUCUAAGGCUAAACAGGGUGCAGAGUCUAGACAAAGCACUACUUUCUGGGUAUUUGCUUGGCUGAUAGACAAGUUGUAUGUUUGUUUGUUUGAUUGGUUGAGUGUCCUUGUCUCUGGGCCCUCUUCCUCCUUUUAUAGACGAAUUAGUCCGACCGCCUGUGGCUUUGUUCUUGCCCAAAAGCAAUUGAAGGAUAGUGACUCAUCAGUAUUUUACUUGUAUUGCCACUAAAAAGUACUUUUGGGCUAAGAGUAGGUUGAUUUUCAACAGUUGUCACUUCUCUUGUAAGCACCUAACUUUUGCAUUAAUGGGGGAACGCCAACUGGUCUUGAGAUGGACGGUCUGGGCUUCGAGCGAAACUCUUCUUAUUGAACUCUUUUGGGCUUUCUCUCCUCUAAGCCCAAAGUUAAAUAUUAACCCAAACAAGUAUAAAACUAAAGAUUUGAGUAUACCUCGGAGCCAAGGAUCUAAAUCCCCAAUCCCUUUUGGGGGCCAAAUAACUCUAAUCUCUACCAUAGGUGCCAAAGAAGUUGCAAUGACCGGCCGACUGGCCUAAUGGUUUAUGCUCGCCCAAAAUAUCGUAGUAGAAGUUGUAUUUAUGUUGUUUUUCAAAAAACAACUUUCGGAAACACUCUCUAUCGCCGUUACAGAUUAACAAGUAGAAAUCAUUAAGUAGUAAAAGAGUUUGAAUCAUCACUGGGCAUCAUAAUUAAUAGAAAUUGGUUCACUUGUUAAUUGUAAUUAUCAAGCAUUACUCUUGAAAAUAUGUAGGAUCUCAUUUGGUAAGGGCAGGCACUCAUAGCACUAGAAUUUUAUAUAUGCUUACUAAGUAUGCAUACAAAGAAGUCAUAUACUUAAGAAUUAAUCACUAACUAAUAUAGAUAGUGAGUCAAUUUCCAUCCAUUGAUAGAAGAAAUUGUUUACACUCAAAAUACGCCCAUUUUUACUUAUUUGGGUCAUUGGGGUAAAAUAUGGCAUUUGGAGGAUUAUUAUGCAAGAAGGCUAGCUCAUCAGCUUCCUUGUAGACAUUUAUUUUUAGCUAGGCAUCCUUUGCUUUUCUUGUUUAUUAGCUCUGCUACUCACUUGUAGUAUCGAUCUGAUUUGUAGCUUUUAUGUACUCAUUUCCAGUCAUAUAAAUUACAAGCAAUCUGCAAUAUUAGUCACUUUCCUCUGUCAUUUAUAUUUCCAAGCAACCUUGUCAUUUACAUAUUGUUCUAUCUCUCCAUAUAAGUAAAGUCCUUAUUUUUAAGGCAAACAAAGAACCUUAAUUUGAGCAACUCCCACUCAAAUGGCACAAUCUCUUGGU
rnacentral:lncRNA from 1 species